GCAGUCGAGCGAGCUUGCCUAGAUGAUUUUAGUGCUUGCACUAAAUGAAACUAGAUACAAGCGAGCGGCGGACGGGUGAGUAACACGUGGGUAACCUGCCCAAGAGACUGGGAUAACACCUGGAAACAGAUGCUAAUACCGGAUAACAACACUAGACGCAUGUCUAGAGUUUGAAAGAUGGUUCUGCUAUCACUCUUGGAUGGACCUGCGGUGCAUUAGCUAGUUGGUAAGGUAACGGCUUACCAAGGCAAUGAUGCAUAGCCGAGUUGAGAGACUGAUCGGCCACAUUGGGACUGAGACACGGCCCAAACUCCUACGGGAGGCAGCAGUAGGGAAUCUUCCACAAUGGACGAAAGUCUGAUGGAGCAACGCCGCGUGAGUGAAGAAGGGUUUCGGCUCGUAAAGCUCUGUUGGUAGUGAAGAAAGAUAGAGGUAGUAACUGGCCUUUAUUUGACGGUAAUUACUUAGAAAGUCACGGCUAACUACGUGCCAGCAGCCGCGGUAAUACGUAGGUGGCAAGCGUUGUCCGGAUUUAUUGGGCGUAAAGCGAGUGCAGGCGGUUCAAUAAGUCUGAUGUGAAAGCCUUCGGCUCAACCGGAGAAUUGCAUCAGAAACUGUUGAACUUGAGUGCAGGAGAGGAGAGUGGAACUCCAUGUGUAGCGGUGGAAUGCGUAGAUAUAUGGAAGAACACCAGUGGCGAAGGCGGCUCUCUGGUCUGCAACUGACGCUGAGGCUCGAAAGCAUGGGUAGCGAACAGGAUUAGAUACCCUGGUAGUCCAUGCCGUAAACGAUGAGUGCU
rnacentral:rRNA from 1 species